UCCCUGGUAGUAUAUCGGUUAGUACACGCGCCUGUCAUCUGUGACGUCAUUUACGCGCGAAAGCUGGGUUCGACUCCCAGCCAGGGAG